UACGUAGGUGGCAAGCGUUAUCCGGAAUUACUGGGCGUAAAGCGCACGCAGGCGGUCUUUUAAGUCUGUCGUGAAAGCCCCGGGCUCAACCUGGGAAUGGCGAUGGAUACUGGCUCGCUAGAGUGCGGUAGAGGAGAGUGGAAUUCCCGGUGUAGCAGUGAAAUGCGUAGAGAUCGGGAGGAACAUCAGUUGCGAAGGCGGCUCUCUGGACCAGCACUGACACUGAGGCACGAAAGCGUGGGGAGCAAACAGG
rnacentral:rRNA from 1 species